AUUGAACGCUAGCGGCAUGCCUUACACAUGCAAGUCGAACGGCAGCGCGGGAGCAAUCCUGGCGGCGAGUGGCGAACGGGUGAGUAAUACAUCGGAACGUACCCAGUAGUGGGGGAUAACGUAGCGAAAGCUACGCUAAUACCGCAUACGCACUACGGUGGAAAGCGGGGGAUCGCAAGACCUCGCGCUAUUGGAGCGGCCGAUGGCAGAUUAGGUAGUUGGUGGGGUAAAGGCUCACCAAGCCAACGAUCUGUAGCUGGUCUGAGGGGACGACCAGCCACACUGGGACUGAGACACGGCCCAGACUCCUACGGGAGGCAGCAGUGGGGAAUUUUGGACAAUGGGCGCAAGCCUGAUCCAGCUAUGCCGCGUGCAGGAAGAAGGCCUUCGGGUUGUAAACUGCUUUUGUACGGAACGAAACGGCUCUGGUUAAUACCUGGGGCUAAUGUCGGUACCGUAAGAAUAAGCACCGGCUAACUACGUGCCAGCAGCCGCCGUAAAAC
rnacentral:rRNA from 1 species